rnacentral:rRNA from 1 species
UUUCCGUAGGUGAACCUGCGGAAGGAUCAUUGUCGAAACCUGCAAAAGCAGACCGCGAACACGUUUAAACACAUUGGGAUCGUGGGUCGGGGGCAACCCCAACUCUCGUUCCCCUCCCGCAGUGCGCGCUGCGGGGAAACGAACCCCGGCGCGGCAUGCGCCAAGGAAAACUCAUAGAAGCGUCCGCCUCUCGUCGCCCCGUUCGCGGUGCGCGUUGGGGGACGUCUCUCAAUGUCAUAACGACACUCGGCAACGGAUAUCUCGGCUCUCGCAUCGAUGAAGAACGUAGCGAAAUGCGAUACUUGGUGUGAAUUGCAGAAUCCCGUGAACCAUCGAGUCUUUGAACGCAAGUUGCGCCCGAAGCCAUUCGGCCGAGGGCACGCCUGCCUGGGCGUCACGCAUCGCGUCGCCCCCCCCAUCACUCCCCGGACAUUGGCCCCCCGUGCGCUCCGCCGCGCGGCCGGCCUAAAUGCGAACCCGUGGCGACUCUCGUCACGACAUGUGGUGGUUGAACACUCAACUCUCGUGCUGUCGUGCCGUGAGUCGUACGUCGGGCAUUGUGGCAGACCCAGUGGCGCAAGUGAUUGCGCCUUCGACCGCGACCCCAGGUCAGGCGGGAUUACCCGCUGAGUUUAA